AGUGAACGCUGGCGGUAGGCCUAACACAUGCAAGUCGAACGGCAGCACAGUAAGAGCUUGCUCUUACGGGUGGCGAGUGGCGGACGGGUGAGGAAUACAUCGGAAUCUACUUUUUCGUGGGGGAUAACGUAGGGAAACUUACGCUAAUACCGCAUACGACCUACGGGUGAAAGCAGGGGAUCUUCGGACCCUGCGCGAUUGAAUGAGCCGAUGUCGGAUUACCUAGUUGGCGGGGUAAAGGCCCACCAAGGCGACGAUCCGUAUCUGGUCUGAGAGGAUGAUCAGCCACACUGGAACUGAGAAACGGUCCAGACUCCUACGGGAGGCAGCAGUGGGGAAUAUUGGACAAUGGGCGCAAGCCUGAUCCAGCCAUACCGCGUGGGUGAAGAAGGCCUUCGGGUUGUAAAGCCCUUUUGUUGGGAAAGAAAAGCAGCAGGUUAAUACCCCGCUGUUCUGACGGUACCCAAAGAAUAAGCACCGGCUAACUUCGUG
rnacentral:rRNA from 1 species